GGAAUCCUGCGGAAGGAUCAUUACCGAGAG
rnacentral:rRNA from 1 species